AUGAGACAAAGGCACCAGGUCAACAUGACUUGACAGGCUCUAAAGACAAUCAUUAACAACAACGGUAAAAUAUCUGACAGAUAUUGUCAGAUAUACGCUACACUAUGAGAUCUCUCUGUUCCUCUUUUUUUAUUAGAUGUCCUUUUACUCCAUAAGUAUCCCUAUUGCUAUUUAGGAGAGUAUUGUAAUGUAUACCUCUUUGUUUAUUUUGGGGUUGGUUCACUUUGUUUUGGAUUGCAC